ensembl:lncRNA LINC00662 long intergenic non-protein coding RNA 662
GUCCACUGCGGUUCCGCCGUGCCAAGGGGAGCUUGGCUGUUCACGGGCCUCACCUGCUAGCGAGAAGAUAGCUUGGCCGGGCGGCUGAUCUCACCUUGUAAUUCUGACACUGUGUCUCCCGGGCUUGUCGGCUUCAUGACUUGUGCCCAAAGUUUGAUUUCUCGCAGACCAGGAGGACCCAUUGGACCCCCGGGCUGGCUGCAGGGCCCACACCUGGGUUAGACCUCGCACAGGGACGCUGCUGCCACUGUAAUAAAGCGUGCCUACACGCUUCUGAAACUGGUGUAGGAACAACCUCAGUUCUGUGAAAGGCGGACGCAGCAGGACAGAAUCUCCGUGGACAUCUGUCUGGAGGAGCAAUUUUACUGCGACAUUUUAAAGAAACAAAUUUAAUUGAUUUCCAAGGGUGUCCAUCGCGCUUCCUUCACUGCCUUGAUCAUGUCGGGGUCACCACCUGCGGGGGUUUGUCCUGCAGACCCUGACUCAACGACGGAUGAAUAAUGUACACUGACACAGAUCUUAUGCUUGUCAGUCCUGCUGAGCAUCCAGGCCACUUACAGACUCCAAGAAGAGUCCUGUCAGCCACGGCUCUGACUUGUUGGCCCUCCCGGCAUUUAUUUAGCACACAUUUAAUGACAGAAGUCUCAGGCUGGAAACACUCUUUUUGUAGAACAUACAAAUGGACAUUUCUAAGCACAUUGAGGCCUAUAAUGAAAAAUCAAAUAUCCCACAAUGAAAACUAGAAGGAAGCUAUCUGUGAUAAUGCUUUGUGGUGUAUGGAUUCAUCUCACUGACUGAAACCUGAGUUUUGAUUCACCAGAAUCUAUGCAGGGACAUUUUUGUGCUCAUUGAGGCCUACUGUGAAAAACCAAACAUCAGGGGUGGAGCCAAAAAAGCCAAAUAGGAACAGCUCCAGUCUACAGCUCCCAGCAUGAGCCACACAGAAGAUGGAUGAUUUCUGCAUUUCCAACUGAGGUUGAAAGCAUUCUUUUUGUAGAAUCUAUGAAAAGACAUUUCUGAGCUUAUUCUGGUUUAUAGAGUAAAACCGAAUAUCCUGAAAUAAAAACUGGAAACUAGGUUGAAAACACAAUUUUUGAAGUAUCUAUGAUGGGACAUAUCGAAGCCCGUUGAGACUUAGUGAAAAACAGAAUAUCCCCUGACAAAAAUUAGAAACAAGCUUUCUGUGAAAAUGUUUUUUGAUGUCUGUAUUUAUCUCACUGAAUGAAAAAUGCAUUUUGAUUCAAGAUGCUGGAAACACUAUUUUUGUAGAAUCUAUGAAGGGAUAUUUCUGAACUCAUUGAAGUCUACAGUGACAAACCGACUAUCCAAUGAUAAAAACUAGAAAUACGCUGUGAAAAAGUUUUAUGAUGUGUGGAUUCUUCUCACUGAAUUAAACCUGCAUUGUAAAUCAUCAGGACUGAAACCUUCUAUUUGUAGAAUCUAUGAAGGAACAUUUAUGAGCCCAUCGAGGCCUGUAUUGAAAAACAAAGGAUCCUGUGGUAAAAACUAGAAACAACCUAAAUAUGGAAAUGCUUUGAGAAAUGUGAUUCAUCUCACAGAGAUGAAUCUUUGUAUUGAUUCAUCAGGUUGGAAACUCUCUUUUUGUGGAAAAUAAAAGGUCUAAAAAGAGACAUAUCUGAGCCCAUUGUGGCCUACAGUGAAAAACUGAAUUUCUUGAACAAACGCUGGAAACCAGCUAUGUGUGAAAAUGCUUUGUGAUGUGUGGGUUUAUCUCACAAAGUUAAACCAUUGUUUUGAUUCAACAUGUUGGAAACACUCUCUCUGUAGAAUCUAUGAAAAAACAUUUCUGAGCUCAUUGAGAAGUAUAGUGAAAAACCACAUAUCCUGAAAUAGAAACUAGAAACAAGAUACGUGUGGAAUGUUUGUGAUGUGUGGAUUCAUCUCACCAAAUGGAACCUGUAUUUUGAUUCACCCAGUUGGAAACACACUUUUUGUAGAAUCUACGAAGGGACAUUUCAGAGCCCAUUGAGGCCUAUUGUGAAAAAUCAAUUAUCCCAUGGUAAAAACUUGAAACAACCUAUCUGUGAAAAUACUUUGUGAUGUAUAGAUUCAUCUCACAAAGUUAAACCAUUGUUUUUAUUCAACACAUUGGAAACACUAUUUUUUAGAAUCUACAAAUAGAAAUUUCUUAGCUUUUUGAGACCUAUAGUAAGAAACUAAUAUCCCACAAUAAAAACUAGAGACAAGCUGUAUGUGAAAAUGUUUUGUGAUGUGUGCAUUCAUCUAACUGAAUGGCACCUGUGUUUUGAUUCACAAGGUUGGAAACACUUUUUGUAGAAUCUACAGAGGUACAUUUCUGAGCCCAUUGAGGCCUACUGUGAAAAACCAAAUAUUCUGUGAUAAAAAUUAGAAACAAGCUAUCUUUGAAAAUGCUUUGGUAUAUGUGGAUUUAUCUCACAGCAUUUAACCUAUGUUUUGAUUCAACAGGUUGGAACGACUUUUUUAGCAGAAUCUAUGACAGUACGUUUCUUUGUCCUUUUAAACCUAUCAUGAAAAACCAAAUUUCCUGUGAUAAAAACCAGAAACAGGGUUUCUGUGAAAAUGCUUUGUGAUGUGUGGAUUCAUCUCACAGACGUUAACCUUUGUUUUGUUUCAACAGGUUCAAAACACUCUUCCUGUAAAAUCUACUUAGGGACAGUCCUGAGCCCAUUGAGGUCUUUAGUAAAAAACGGAAUAUCCCAUGAUAAAAACUAGAAACAAACUAUCUGGGAAAAUGUUUGUGAUGUGUGGUUUCAUAUCACAGAGUAAAACCUUUGUUUUGAUUUAAAACGUUGAAAUCACUCUUUUUGUAGUAUCUAGAAAUGGAUAUUUCUGAACCCGUUGAUGCUUAUAGUAAAAAAUUAAAUUUUCUACAAUAUAAACUAGAAACAAACUAUCCGUGAAAACGUUUUGUAAU